GACGAACGCUGGCGGCGUGCUUAACACAUGCAAGUCGAACGGAGGAUACAUUGAAACCUAGUGAUAUGUAACCUUAGUGGCGGACGGGUGAGUAACGCGUGGAUAACCUGCCUAUCUGACCGGGACAACACCUGGAAACGGGUGCUAAUACCGGAUACGCUCAUCUAGUCAAAAGAAUAGAUGAGGAAAAGGGGAAACCCGCAGACAGAUGGGUCCGCGUCCCAUUAGCUAGUUGGAGGUGUAAGAGACCCCCAAGGCGACGAUGGGUAGCCGGCCUGAGAGGGUGACCGGCCACACUGGAACUGAGACACGGUCCAGACUCCUACGGGAGGCAGCAGUGGGGGAAUCUUCCGCAAUGGGCGCAAGCCUGACGGAGCAACGCCGCGUGAGUGAAGAAGGCCUUGGGUUGUAAAACUCUGUCAUCAGGGAAGAAGAAAGUGACGGUACCUGAGGAGGAAGCCCCGGCUAACUACGUGCCAGCAGCCGCGGUAAAAGUGUAGUGUA
rnacentral:rRNA from 1 species